rnacentral:rRNA from 1 species
CAGUUAAAAAGCUCGUAGUUGGAUUUCUGGUUGAAGCGACCGGUCGGGCGUUGAUUCGUCUGCACUGGAGUCGGUUUUGGCCAUCCUCUAGGAAAGUGCGUCUGGUAUUAAGUUGUCGGGCGUAUGAUCCUGGUCUUUUACUGUGAAAAAAUUAGAGUGUUUAAAGCAGGCCUUCGCCUUGAAUACAUUAGCAUGGAAUAAUAAGAUAGGACUUUGGUCUAUUUUGUUGGUUUGCAGACCGAAGUAAUGAUUAAUAGGGAUAGUUGGGGGUAUUUAUAUUCCGAUGUCAGAGGUGAAAUUCUUAGAUUUUCGGAAGAUAAACUUAUGCGAAAGCAUUUACCAAGGAUGUUUUCAUUAAUCAAGAACGAAAGUUAGGGGAUCGAAGAUGAUUAGAUACCAUCGUAGUCUUAACCAUAAACUAUGCCGACUCAGGAUUGGUGGACGUUUAUUUAAUGACUCCAUCAGCACUGUAUGAGAAAUCAAAGUCUUUGGGUUCCGGGGGGAGUAUGGUCGCAAGGCUGAAACUUAAAGGAAUUGACGGAAGGGCACCACCAGGAGUGGAGCCUGCGGCUUAAUUUGACUCACACGGGAAAACUUACCAGGUCCGGAC